rnacentral:rRNA from 1 species
UACGUAGGGUGCGAGCGUUAAUCGGAAUUACUGGGCGUAAAGCGUGCGCAGGCGGUUAUGUAAGACAGGUGUGAAAUCCCCGGGCUUAACCUGGGAACUGCGCUUGUGACUGCAUAACUUGAGUGUGGCAGAGGGGGGUGGAAUUCCACGUGUAGCAGUGAAAUGCGUAGAGAUGUGGAGGAACACCGAUGGCGAAGGCAGCCCCCUGGGUCAAGAUUGACGCUCAUGCACGAAAGCGUGGGGAGCAAACAGG